rnacentral:rRNA from 1 species
GACAGAGGGGCAAGCGUUGUCCGGAGUGACUGGGCGUACAGCGCGCGCAGGCGGUUGGUGACGUGACCGUGUCACAGCCCUGAGCUCAACUCAGGGUGGCCACGGUAGACGCACCGGCUGGAGCAGGAGAGGGAUGUGGAAUACCCGGUGGAGCGGUGAAAUGCGUAGAGAUCGGGUGGAACACCAGUGGCGAAGGCGGCAUCCUGGCCCUGACCUGACGCUGAGGCGCGAGAGCGUGGGGAGCAAACAGG